rnacentral:rRNA from 1 species
UACAGAGGGUGCAAGCGUUAAUCGGAAUUACUGGGCGUAAAGCGUGCGUAGACGGUUAUUUAAGUCGGGUGUGAAAGCCCCGGGCUCAACCUGGGAAUUGCAUUCGAGACUGCAUUGCUGGAGUACGGAAGAGGAGGGCGGAAUUCCCGGUGUAGCGGUGAAAUGCGUAGAUAUCGGGAGGAACAUCAGUGGCGAAGGCGGCCCUCUGGUCCAGUACUGACACUCAAGUGCGAAAGCGUGGGGAGCAAACAGG